rnacentral:rRNA from 1 species
UACGGAGGGAGCUAGCGUUAUUCGGAAUUAUUGGGCGUAAAGCGCACGUAGGCGGCUUUGUAAGUUAGAGGUGAAAGCCUGAAGCUCAACUUCAGAAUUGCCUUUAAGACUGCAUCGCUUGAAUCCAGGAGAGGUGAGUGGAAUUCCGAGUGUAGAGGUGAAAUUCGUAGAUAUUCGGAAGAACACCAGUGGCGAAGGCGGCUCACUGGACUGGUAUUGACGCUGAGGUGCGAAAGCGUGGGGAGCAAACAGG